rnacentral:rRNA from 1 species
UACGAAGGGGGCUAGCGUUACUGAGAAUCACUGGGCGUAAAGGGUGCGUAGGCGGGUUUUUAAGUCAGGGGUGAAAUCCUGGAGCUCAACUCCAGAACUGCCUUUGAUACUGAAGAUCUUGAGUUCGGGAGAGGUGAGUGGAACUGCGAGUGUAGAGGUGAAAUUCGUAGAUAUUCGCAAGAACACCAGUGGCGAAGGCGGCUCACUGGCCCGAUACUGACGCUGAGGCACGAAAGCGUGGGGAGCAAACAGG